GGGGGGCUGCUCCUAGUACGAGAGGACCGGAGUGGACGCAUCACUGGUGUUCGGGGUUGUCAUGCCAAUGGCACUGCCCGGUAGCUAAAUGCGGAAGAGAUAAGUGCUGAAAGCAUCUAAGCACGAAACUUGCCCCGAGAUGAGUUCUCCCUGAGACUUUAAGUCUCCUGAAGGAACGUUAAAGACGAUGACGUUGAUAGGCCGGGUGUGUAAGCGCAGCGAUGCGUUGAGCUAACCGGUACUAAUG
rnacentral:rRNA from 1 species